GCACGAGGCCGAACAGCGUCAGUGGCGCCUCAGGAACCACCUGCAAUUGGCAGCCAAAGGUCCUCUGAGGCAAACGUUGGCCCAGAACCCCCUGAGGGCCCCCGAGACCUCGACCAAAACCCCUCAGGAAACCCCAAAAAGGCCCUGGAAGGAAACUUUGGGGUGACCCC